rnacentral:rRNA from 1 species
UGGGGAAUAUUGGACAAUGGGCGAAAGCCUGAUCCAGCCAUGCCGCGUGUGUGAAGAAGGUCUUCGGAUUGUAAAGCACUUUAAGUUGGGAGGAAGGGCAGUAAGCGAAUACCUUGCUGUUUUGACGUUACCGACAGAAUAAGCACCGGCUAACUCUGUGCCAGCAGCCGCGGUAAUACAGAGGGUGCAAGCGUUAAUCGGAAUUACUGGGCGUAAAGCGCGCGUAGGUGGUUCGUUAAGUUGAAUGUGAAAGCCCCGGGCUCAACCUGGGAACUGCAGCCAAAACUGGCGAGCUAGAGUAGGGCAGAGGGUGGUGGAAUUUCCUGUGUAGCGGUGAAAUGCGUAGAUAUAGGAAGGAACACCAGUGGCGAAGGCGACCACCUGGGCUCAUACUGACACUGAGAUGCGAAAGCGUAGGGAGCAAACAGG